ACAUGCAAGUCGAGCGAACAGACAAGGAGCUUGCUCCUUUGACGUUAGCGGCGGACGGGUGAGUAACACGUGGGUAACCUACCUAUAAGACUGGGAUAACUUCGGGAAACCGGAGCUAAUACCGGAUAAUAUUUCGAACCGCAUGGUUCGAUAGUGAAAGAUGGUUUUGCUAUCACUUAUAGAUGGACCCGCGCCGUAUUAGCUAGUUGGUAAGGUAACGGCUUACCAAGGCGACGAUACGUAGCCGACCUGAGAGGGUGAUCGGCCACACUGGAACUGAGACACGGUCCAGACUCCUACGGGAGGCAGCAGUAGGGAAUCUUCCGCAAUGGGCGAAAGCCUGACGGAGCAACGCCGCGUGAGUGAUGAAGGUCUUCGGAUCGUAAAACUCUGUUAUUAGGGAAGAACAUACGUGUAAGUAACUAUGCACGUCUUGACGGUACCUAAUCAGAAAGCCACGGCUAACUACGUGCCAGCAGCCGCGGUAAUACGUAGGUGGCAAGCGUUAUCCGGAAUUAUUGGGCGUAAAGCGCGCGUAGGCGGUUUUUUAAGUCUGAUGUGAAAGCCCACGGCUCAACCGUGGAGGGUCAUUGGAAACUGGAAAACUUGAGUGCAGAAGAGGAAAGUGGAAUUCCAUGUGUAGCGGUGAAAUGCGCAGAGAUAUGGAGGAACACCAGUGGCGAAGGCGACUUUCUGGUCUGUAACUGACGCUGAUGUGCGAAAGCGUGGGGAUCAAACAGGAUUAGAUACCCUGGUAGUCCACGCCGUAAACGAUGAGUGCUAAGUGUUAGGGGGUUUCCGCCCCUUAGUGCUGCAGCUAACGCAUUAAGCACUCCGCCUGGGGAGUACGACCGCAAGGUUGAAACUCAAAGGAAUUGACGGGGACCCGCACAAGCGGUGGAGCAUGUGGUUUAAUUCGAAGCAACGCGAAGAACCUUACCAAAUCUUGACAUCCUUUGACAACUCUAGAGAUAGAGCUUUCCCCUUCGGGGGACAAAGUGACAGGUGGUGCAUGGUUGUCGUCAGCUCGUGUCGUGAGAUGUUGGGUUAAGUCCCGCAACGAGCGCAACCCUUAAGCUUAGUUGCCAUCAUUAAGUUGGGCACUCUAAGUUGACUGCCGGUGACAAACCGGAGGAAGGUGGGGAUGACGUCAAAUCAUCAUGCCCCUUAUGAUUUGGGCUACACACGUGCUACAAUGGACAAUACAAAGGGCAGCGAAACCGCGAGGUCAAGCAAAUCCCAUAAAGUUGUUCUCAGUUCGGAUUGUAGUCUGCAACUCGACUACAUGAAGCUGGAAUCGCUAGUAAUCGUAGAUCAGCAUGCUACGGUGAAUACGUUCCCGGGUCUUGUACACACCGCCCGUCACACCACGAGAGUUUGUAACACCCGAAGCCGGUGGAGUAACCAUUUGGAGCUAGCCGUCGA
rnacentral:rRNA from 1 species